rnacentral:lncRNA from 1 species
AGCCCAUAGCUAAUAAGGCUUCGGAAGUGUGGAAAAUUUACUGGAACUCCAAAAGAACUGUCCUGAAUCUAGGAGAAAUUGAUUUUGGUUCUUUCUAGCUCUCUGCCCCUCAUUUGUAUGUGACCUUGGGGAAGCUCUUAGAUCUUUUUGAAUCUCCCAAUCCUUGUCUCUGGUUGGACUAGAAAGCCUUAGCUUAUUUAUAGCCUCAAGAUUCUAUGAUGUCAUGGUUCCUUCUCUAUGCGUGUUCUCUUGAGAACCAAGCAGGAUCAAUAGUUUUCAGAAGAACAGAAGUACAGAAAAAAAUGUGUUGUACUGCCCUAGCUCUACCCCUCCCAGGUUAUGACUCCUUCUGUUACUUUUGACUGGGUCCUACCUUCCGUUUUUGGUCCAGUAACAGGGCUGCCAUUUGGGAAUGGAUUCUCAGGCUCUAGUUGCUCCCCAGAAAAGCCUCAGCAAGUCAUUUUACCCUUUGCCUCUCACUCUACAUGGGUCUUUUCGAGAAUAUCUUAAUGAAAUAUUUCCUCAUCCCUGCGGACAAAGAGAUUUUUAUUGUGGGGGUGUCCCAUUAUUUUCCAUCUCAGGGACUCCUCCUUCAUUGUUUCCUUUUCUCUUCUGCUUCUCUUUCAUGGCUGCGCGUUUCUUCUUCCAGUGUUGCGGGCUAGGUCAGCAGCUGCAGGAGAACUUGAUUAGUGCCUUGCCUCAGUGCAGAUGCAUUUCCCUGACAGCAUCGAUCCUGGGUGCUUUCGCUUUGCAGGCAGCUCCACAGAGGAGGAGCUUGUACUGCAAAGGAGGUGGACUGUUGUCUGUUCAAGGUUGGAGGUGUAUUUGGAAUGCUUGCUUCACUCAGAGCCCUUUUCUCUAGGAAUUGCCCAUACUGGUAACCCUUCCUAAGGAGGUAGGCAUAAAAAUCAUGUUUGUAUCUCCCUCCCUGGUACCACCAGUGGACACCGGAUCAAGGACACAAAUGGCAGUUAGGAAUCAGUGCUGUCAAAAUUAAAGAGACCCAAGAAUGUCCUUCGAUGGUAAUCUGGGGAUCAUGAGAAAUUGGGAUCUAUGAUGGCUAUUUUCAACCAUAAGCAUACUGAUGAUGGGUAGAGAAUGCUGGAGAAUGGAGCAGAUGUGCAGAGAGAAGCAAAACCAGUAAAUCAUGUGGUCACGGUGGAGACAGAGGAAGUACCUUGGUUCUAGGUCUCAUUCUUAAACCAAUGCAUGGUCUGAACAUUGAUUUUUUUCCCCCCCUCUAGGAUCACCAGAAGAUGGCCCAUUUUAACCUCAUAAUAAACUUCUCUUGAGUGUCUUUCUCUUCCUGGCA